AGCGAAUGAAGUUCUCUGGAAAGUUUGAGGUCUCAAGUCUCUUUGCUAGAUGGGCUGAAAUGAUGAAAAGUAGAGUAAAGCGUAGGGAUCCCAGCUGAUGAGCAAUGCAAACAAAUUCUGUCCUGGCAGUUGAAUUUUAUGUUCUCGAUAAUGCAGAUGAGAGGAUCACUAACCAACCAGUAAAGAGACAAAUCAGUGACAAACGGAAUGUCAGUUUUUGAUCUCAGCCAUAUCAUACAAGGUCUGAAUACGAAAAUUCAUUCUUAU
rnacentral:misc_RNA from 1 species